GGAGUGGUGUCCGAGUGGUCGAAGGAGCGCGAUUGGAAAUCGCGUAUGCGGCAACGUAUCGAGGGUUCGAAUCCCUCCCGCUCCGCCA
rnacentral:tRNA from 1 species